GACAAAACCACAUCUGCAACUGCCGGUCCGUUAGACCUAAUUUUUCUGACAGCUCAGCGCGAAUGGCCUCAGAUGGAUAUGUCUCCAUAGCAUAGACCCUUUCUAGGGUUUCCAGUUGAAAGGGAGUCUUCAUCUGCCUCUUUGGCUUCUUGGGUCCUUCAGAUGAACUCUGAAUAAGGUUCCUAUUGCCUUCCCCAUCCGACCCACCAUCCAUUUUUUCAGAUCUUUGUUGAAGAAAACCCUAAAAAUCCAAUCUUUAUUGAAAGAAAAACAACCCCGUUACAGAUAGGUAACUAUAUAUUCUUCCCG
rnacentral:misc_RNA from 1 species